rnacentral:rRNA from 1 species
GACGAACGCUGGCGGCGUGCUUAACACAUGCAAGUCGAACGGAAAGGCCCUGCUUUUGUGGGGUGCUCGAGUGGCGAACGGGUGAGUAACACGUGAGUAACCUGCCCUUGACUUUGGGAUAACUUCAGGAAACUGGGGCUAAUACCGGAUAGGAGCUCCUGCUGCAUGGUGGGGGUUGGAAAGUUUCGGCGGUUGGGGAUGGACUCGCGGCUUAUCAGCUUGUUGGUGGGGUAGUGGCUUACCAAGGCUUUGACGGGUAGCCGGCCUGAGAGGGUGACCGGGCACAUUGGGACUGAGAGACGGACCAGAGGCCUACGGGAGGCAGCAGGGGGGAAUAUUGCACAAUGGGCGGAAGCCUGAUGCAGCAACGCCGCGGGCGGGAUGACGGCCUUCGGGUUGUAAACCGCUUUCGCCUGUGACGAAGCGGGAGUGACGGUAAUGGGUAAAGAAGCACCGGCUAACUACGUG